CCGGUACAUUCUUUUGAUGCGAUACCGCCAAGACGUCCCACAGUUCGUCACGGCCCGGCGUUGCCAAGCGGUAACAGUUUACUGAGACAACCUGGACCAUUUCCACAUAUGCCACUUCUACAUCCACAAUAUCGCCAUGUAAGUGCACCGCCACGUUGGGCGAGCUUACUAGGACAACCACCUACAAAUCCGUAUAUUCCUAGGCCAGGCUUCUUGUACCCCCUGAGGUUCAGCACAUGCGCGGAGCGAGAGGAAUAUCGCAAGUACCUCCUGCACAACGUCCCGGACGACCCUUUGGAAAUGGCCCACCUCGUCACCCACAUCACGAGGAAAGUCGCAAACGGCAAGGACACACAGUGCUACGUCGGAGAUGGUUCCGCGAACACGAGAAUCACUACAAUCGUGUGCUAGAGCUCGGAGAGGAUCCUGCACUUCGUGGAUCCUCCAAAUUAGUUCGACACAAACCGUCUAGGUUUUCUGAAGCACGUCACCCACGUGUGCAAAACGCUCAUAUGCCCGAAGAACAGUCAGUUGCGCUCCCUGCGAAGUCACGGCGCCAAUGAAGACAUCGAAUACUGAUGCUGCCGUUAAGACAACACUGAGUGGACGUACGGCUGGACGUAAUCUGAAAAUGGUGGCAAGAAAAGCAGACAGCGACAUCCACACUGACGAGCACAAAUGGCAUUUAAAUAUUUAUUUUUGAAAACGGCUUCACAGG
rnacentral:lncRNA from 1 species